GACGAACGCGGCGGCGUGCCUAAUACAUGCAAGUAGAACGCUGAAGGAGGAGCUUGCUCUUCUGGAUGAGUUGCGAACGGGUGAGUAACGCGUAGGUAACCUGCCUGGUAGCGGGGGAUAACUAUUGGAAACGAUAGCUAAUACCGCAUAAUAGUAGAUGUUGCAUGACAUUUACUUAAAAGGUGCAAUUGCAUCACUACCAGAUGGACCUGCGUUGUAUUAGCUAGUUGGUGGGGUAACGGCUCACCAAGGCGACGAUACAUAGCCGACCUGAGAGGGUGAUCGGCCACACUGGGACUGAGACACGGCCCAGACUCCUACGGGAGGCAGCAGUAGGGAAUCUUCGGCAAUGGACGGAAGUCUGACCGAGCAACGCCGCGUGAGUGAAGAAGGUUUUCGGAUCGUAAAGCUCUGUUGUAAGAGAAGAACGAGUGUGAGAGUGGAAAGUUCACACUGUGACGUAUCUACCAGAAAGGACGCA
rnacentral:rRNA from 1 species